rnacentral:tRNA from 1 species
GGGGGCAUAGCUCAGUUGGGAGAGCAGCAGACUGAAGUCAACUGAAUUCUGAAGGUCCCGCGUUCAAUCCGCGGUGCCCCCA